AUACUCUGGUUUCUCUUCAGAUUGCACAAAUCUUUCGCCUUUUACUAAAGAUUUCCGUGGAGAGGAACAAUUCUGAGUCACAAAUGAAUCUGUAUUAAAGAAUUUUAAAGAACUGA